UCCAGCUCUCAGUCAGCUGUCCGGACAGUGUGUGUGUCUGGCUCGGUGUUACAGUGCUGGUAGAGAACAUCCUGUGUCGUACCUCGCUGCAGCAGGUUCUGUCUUAGAGUCUGCUGCUGCUGAGCUGCUGCAGGACUCGGCUCAGUGAGCGUGGACUGUCCUAAUACUGACUGCAGGGCAGGCCAAGUACAGGGCCAAACAAA
rnacentral:snoRNA from 1 species